rnacentral:rRNA from 1 species
CCAGCCCGCUCAGAAACUUAAAUGAAUUGACGGGGACCCGCACAAGCGGUGGAGCAUGUGGUUUAAUCGAAGAUACGCGAAGAACCUUACCUGGACUUGACAUUGAAAGAAUCCUGUAGAGAUACGGGAGUGCCAGUUUACUGGAGCUUGAAAACAGGUGCUGCACGGCUGUCGUCAGCUCGUGUUGUGAGAUGUUGGGUUAAGUCCCGCAACGAGCGCAACCCACGUCGUUAGUUGCUAACAGUUAGGCUGAGAACUCUAACGAGACUGCCUUCGUAAGGAGGAGGAAGGUGUGGACGACGUCAAGUCAUCAUGGCCCUUACGUCCAGGGCUACACACGUGCUACAAUGGGGUAUACAAAGAGCAGCAAUACGGUGACGUGGAGCAAAUCUCAUAAAAUGCCUCCCAGUUCGGAUUGUAGUCUGCAACUCGACUACAUGAAGUUGGAAUCGCUAGUAAUCGUAGAUCAGCAUUGCUACGGUGAAUACGUUCCCGGGUCUU